GCUGGGCAUUGUGGUGGGCGCCUGUGGUCCCAGCUACUUGGGAGGCUGAGGCAGGAGACUCACUUGAGCCCAGGAGUUGGAGGUUGUUGUGAGCUUUGAUGUCACAGCACUCUACCCAGGGUGACAGCGUGAGGCUCUGUCUCAAAAAAAAAAAAAGUUUUUGAGAGAGUUCCUUUUGGAAUUCUAACCUUUAAGCAAGUCACUUCCAUAAUGCAGACCUCUAUUUCUUUUUUUUUUUUUUUUGAGACAGAGCCUCAAGCUGUCAUCCUGGGUAGAGUACCGUGGCAUCAUAGCUCACAGCAACCUCCAACUCCUGGGCUCAAGCGAGUCUCCUGCCUCUG
rnacentral:SRP_RNA from 1 species